rnacentral:rRNA from 1 species
UACGGAGGUCCCAAGCGUUGUUCGGAUUCACUGGGCGUAAAGGGUGCGUAGGCGGUGGGGUAAGUCGGAUGUGAAAGCUCGGAGCUCAACUCCGAAAUGGCAUUGGAAACUACCCUGCUAGAGGAUUGGAGGGGGGACUGGAAUACUUGGUGUAGCAGUGAAAUGCGUAGAUAUCAAGUGGAACACCAGUGGCGAAGGCGAGUCCCUGGACAAUUCCUGACACUGAGGCACGAAAGCUAGGGGAGCAAACAGG